CGGGCGGGAGGACAGGACAGGACAGGACAGGACACGGACAGAGAAAUCCCAUAUCAGUGGUUUGCCUUGGUGAGGAAAUGCUCACAUACCCUCCAAUACACGAGAGAGAGAGAGAGAGAGAGAGAGAGAGAGAGAGAGAGAGAGAGAGAGAGAGAGAGAGAGAGAGAGAGAGAGAGAGAGAGAGAGAGAGAGA